AUGGCCUUUACAGUUGCAGACUCAGCAAAGCUCCCACAAUGAUAGUUGCACAAAGUUUCCUCCUUGUUGCUCUCAUUGGAGCUGCUCAAGGCCAGUCCCUCACCUCCUCAGAGCCAGUGGUCAGCAGGGCAGGAGAACCAGCCACUCUGUACUGUAAUGUCAAUGGACUUGCUCUUUCUUGGCUGCACUGGAUUCGUCAGAAAACGGGGAAAGGACUGGAAUGGAUCGGACGCAUUGAUAGCGGAACUGGCACGAUAUUUGCCCAAAAUCUCCAAGGCCAGUUUUCCAUCACAAAGGACACAUCGAACAAUGUUGUGUACUUAGAGGUGAAGAGUCUUAAACAAGAAGACUCUGCUGUUUAUUUCUGUGCACGAGAGCCACAGUUACACAGCUGACGACAGAGCUGUACAAAAACUGAAAAACACUGAUCGUUGACCUGGAAGAACUGAAGCAUGUCAGAGUUUGGAAAACACAUUUUCUUCUGAAUAAUGUUACGACCGUGGUCACACUGGGUGUAUUUUUUACGGGUUUCUUUUGUCUUAGGUUGGUUAUGUUAUUGUCUGCAUGCUGUUGUUCUGUGUAAAUAGGUGUGCCUCCAAGCGGAAGGCCUGAGUUCGAGUCCGGCCUUUGGCCCCUUUCCCACUUGUCAUUGCCCUCUCUCUCUCUCCCCCCUCAAUUUGUGGCUCUAU